UACGUAGGGUGCAAGCGUUAAUCGGAAUUACUGGGCGUAAAGCGUGCGCAGGCGGUUGUGCAAGACAGAUGUGAAAUCCCCGGGCUCAACCUGGGAACUGCAUUUGUGACUGCACGGCUGGAGUGCGGCAGAGGGGGAUGGAAUUCCGCGUGUAGCAGUGAAAUGCGUAGAUAUGCGGAGGAACACCGAUGGCGAAGGCAGCCCCCUGGGUCAAGAUUGACGCUCAUGCACGAAAGCGUGGGGAGCAAACAGG
rnacentral:rRNA from 1 species